GUCAGUCUCCGCCUGCUUCAGCAACUGUGAGUGUUUUUCCUCAUGAUUCAUUUUCUCAGCCCGGCUCCGCUCGCUCUCCGUCUGUAACGCCAGUUCCGAAGCCAGGCUUCGUGCACUGAUCGUUACUCGAGUAACUGCGUGCCUGUUCCAACUCAUCGCUAGCCUUCGCCGCGUUUGGGUCUAGCCAGCACGCCACACGGGCACGCCGAAUUACUGUGUUUAAUUCGUGCGUUUCCCCCGAUCGUGACAGGGGCAAGGAUUAGGAGCUCCUGACAUGAAGAGAACGCUGUCUGAGCGGCGAACAGGUGGGUGGUGUCUCCCUUUCAAACCCGACCCCGUGAUCAGCUGAUCACUACCUGACAGGAACAACAACGGCUGACGAGUACCCCCAGGUGUGAUCCUUCAUUGUGGCCAGGUGAUGAUGCUGAACUGAUAGCUGCAUCCCAGUCUGUGGAAGAUUCACUGAAGUCCACAUCUGCAAGUCAACCUCUAAAGCAGCGGCUGACAAGCAGAGGUGCUUCCUCCUCCCAGAC